GCGGUGGUGAUUCAGUGGUAGAAUUCUCACCUUCCAUGUGGGAGACCCAAGUUCAACUACCAGCUAACGCG
rnacentral:tRNA from 1 species